CAGAAUAGUAGUUGAAUCAACUUAAAUCAUUGUUUUAUACAAUAUACAAUGUAUAUUCACUUUUUCUACCAACUGAUAAAUUAAAACAAUCUUUACCAUUCAGUGAUAACAACCACUUUAUUUUACAUUUUAAUAUUUUAUGAUGUAUUUAAAUGAGUAGUUAUUGUUGCAAACUCCAUUAGAAAUUUGAAUUGAGAUCAGUUUUGGAAAAAGGGAAAGGGGAUGUGAAAACAAAUGGGGGGGGGGUUAAAUUUUUCUCAUUUCAGAUUUCAUAAAUGAAAAGAAAAUUUCUUCAAACAUUUUUUUGAGAGGAUUAAUAUUCAACAGCAUAGUGAAUUGCUCAAAGGCAAAAAAAAUAUUUUAAGUUCAUUAGACCACAUUCAUUCUGUGUCAGAAACCUAUGCUGUGUCAACUAUUUAAUCACAAUCCAAAUUUAGAGCUGAAUCCAGCUUGAAUGUUGUGUCCAUACUUGCCCCAACUGUUCAGGGUUCAACCUCUGCGGUCGUAUAAAGCUGCGCCCUGCGGAGCAUCUGGUU
rnacentral:lncRNA from 1 species